rnacentral:miRNA from 1 species
CCUGGUGGUCUAGUGAUUAGGAUUCGGGUCUCUCACUGUGGCGGCCCGGGUUCGAUUCCCAGUC